rnacentral:rRNA from 1 species
GCUGGCGGCAGGCCUAACACAUGCAAGUCGAACGGUAACAGGAAGCAGCUUGCUGCUUUGCUGACGAGUGGCGGACGGGUGAGUAAUGUCUGGGAAACUGCCUGAUGGAGGGGGAUAACUACUGGAAACGGUGGCUAAUACCGCAUAACGUCGCAAGACCAAAGAGGGGGACCUUCGGGCCUCUUGCCAUCAGAUGUGCCCAGAUGGGAUUAGCUUGUUGGUGAGGUAACGGCUCACCAAGGCGACGAUCCCUAGCUGGUCUGAGAGGAUGACCAGCCACACUGGAACUGAGACACGGUCCAGACUCCUACGGGAGGCAGCAGUGGGGAAUAUUGCACAAUGGGCGCAAGCCUGAUGCAGCCAUGCCGCGUGUAUGAAGAAGGCCUUCGGGUUGUAAAGUACUUUC